AUGGCCUCCUCUUCUCCCACCGUCACAACGCUUAGGCGAAAUGGCGCAGACAUACUUGUGGAGGCCCUCGAGCGCUGUGGAGUUGGCGACGUGUUCGCGUACCCGGGCGGUGCGUCCAUGGAGAUCCACCAGGAGCUCACGCGCUCGCCCACCAUCCGUACCCACCUGCUCCGCCACGAGCAGGGCGAGGCCUUCGCCGCGUCAGGCUACGCGCGCGCUUCCGGCCGGCCCGGCGUCUGCAUCGCCACCUCCGGCCCCGGUGCCACCAACCUCGUCACCGCGCUCGCCGACGCUUAUCUCGACUCCGUGCCACUCGUCGCCAUCACCGGCCAGGUCCCGCGGUACAUGAUCGGGACGGGCGCCUUUCAGGAAACGCCGGUCGUGGAAGUCACUCGCCCCAUCACCAAGCACAACUAUCUGGUUCUCGACGUGGACGACAUCCCCCGCAUCAUCAAAGAGGCCUUCUUCCUCGCGUCGUCCGGACGUCCAGGGCCUGUUCUGGUCGACAUCCCCAAGGACAUCCAGCAGCACAUGGCUGUGCCGUCCUGGGGCACGCCCAUGCAGCUACCCAACAGGUACAUUGCGCGCCUGCCCGAGCAGCCGGCCACUGACCUGCUCGAGCAAGUCAUCCACCUUGCGGCCGAGGCCAGGAGACCCGUUCUCUACGUUGGUGGCGGAUGCUCUGCGUCUGGUGAUGAGCUGCGCCGCUUUGUUGAGCUCACGGGCAUCCCGGUGGCAACCACUCUGAUGGGUCUCGGUAACUUUCCUAGCGACCAUCCGCUGUCACUGCGCAUGCUUGGGAUGCAUGGGACCGUGUAUGCCAAUUACGCCGUGGAUAAGGCUGACUUGUUGCUUGCAUUUGGUGUGCGGUUCGACGAUCGCGUGACUGGGAGGAUUGAGGCUUUUGCGAGCAGGGCCAAGAUUGUGCACAUUGACAUUGACCCCGCGGAGAUUGGGAAGAACAAGCAGCCACACGUCUCAAUUUGUGCAGAUGUCAAGCUUGCUUUGCAGGGUAUGAAUGCUCUUCUAGAAGGGAGCAUUGGGGAGAGGAAUUUUGACUACCGUGAUUGGUGCUCGGAGUUGGAGCAGAAAAGAAUUGAGUUUCCCCUAGGUUAUCAAACAUUUGGUGAAGCCAUUCCACCGCAAUAUGCUAUCCAGGUGCUGGACGAGAUGACAAAUGGGGAGGCAAUCGUUGCCACCGGCGUUGGGCAGCAUCAGAUGUGGGCGGCUCAGUAUUACACCUAUAGGAGGCCUAGACAAUGGUUGUCGUCUGGUGGGCUGGGGGCAAUGGGCUUUGGGUUGCCGGCAGCUGCUGGUGCCGCAGUGGCCAACCCAGGUGUCACUGUGGUCGACAUUGAUGGAGACGGUAGCUUCCUCAUGAACAUCCAAGAGUUGGCAAUGAUCCGAAUUGAGAACCUCCAAGUGAAGGUCAUGGUUCUUAACAACCAGCAUCUGGGUAUGGUGGUGCAGUGGGAGGACAUACUCUACAAAGCCAACCGAGCACACACCUACCUAGGCAACCCGGAGAAGGGGAGUGUGAUUUACCCAGACUUCAUCACAAUUGCCAGAGGCUUCAGUAUCCCUGCGGUCCGAGUGGCAAACAAGAGCGAAGUUCGUGCUGCCAUCAAGGAGAUGCUUGAGACACCAGGCCCGUACUUGCUGGACGUCAUCGUCCCACACCAGGAACAUGUCCUACCCAUGAUCCCAAGUGGUGGAUCUUUCAAGGACACGAUCCUGGAUGGAGAUGGUCAAACUCUCCAUUAG
rnacentral:rRNA from 1 species